rnacentral:rRNA from 1 species
AGUGAACGCUGGCGGUGUGCCUAAUACAUGCAAGUCGAGCGGCAGGACAGGAAGCUCGUGUCCCUGCUGUUGGCGACGGACGGGCGGGUAACGCAUGCAUCACCUUCCUCUAUGUCUGGGGGAACAACGGGGGACAACAUAUGCUAAUGGCUCAUACUUUGUACCGCAGAGAUCAAAAGAGCUAGACGGUCUUCGCGUCUCAAAUAGCUGAUUCCGCGUUGCAUUAGCUAGUUGGUAAGGUAACGGCUUACCAAGGCUACGAUGCAUAGCCGACCUGAGAGGGUGAUCGGCCACACUGGAACUGAGACACGGUCCAGACUCCUACGGGAGGCAGCAGUAGGGAAUCUUCGGCAAUGGGCGCAAGCCUGACCGAGCAACGCCGCGUGAGUGAUGAAGGCCUUCGGAUUGUAAAACUCUUUUAUUAGGAAAGAACAGAAGCGGAUGAAACUGUGGACAUUUUGACGGUACCUAAUGAGAAAGCCCCGGCUAACUUCGUG